GUUGUAUAGUCAAGUAAUUAAGUGCAUGUGGUGGAUGCCUUGGCAGUCAGAGGCGAUGAAAGACGUGAUAGCCUGCGAAAAGCUCCGGGGAGGCGGCAAAUAUCCUUUGAUCCGGAGAUGUCUGAAUGGGGAAACCCACUUAUCAUAAGAUAGGUAUUGCAUGAUGAAUACAUAGUCAUGCAAGGCGAACGAGGGGAAGUGAAACAUCUCAGUACCCUUAGGAAAAGAAAUCAAUUGAGAUUCCCUUAGUAGCGGCGAGCGAAAGGGGAACAGCCCAUUAAGUUGUGUGUGUUCUAGUGGAACGCUCUGGGAAGUGCGAACGUAGAGGGUGAUAUUCCCGUACACGAAAGGGCACACACAAUGAUGACGAGUAGGGCGAGGCACGUGAAACCUUGUCUGAAUAUGGGGGGACCAUCCUCCAAGGCUAAAUACUCCUGACUGACCGAUAGUGAACCAGUACCGUGAGGGAAAGGCGAAAAGAACCCCUGUGAGGGGAGUGAAAUAGAUCCUGAAACCGCAUGCAUACAAGCAGUGGGAGCCGACUUGUUCGGUGACUGCGUACCUUUUGUAUAAUGGGUCAGCGACUUAUAUUCAGUAGCAAGGUUAACCGCAUAGGGGAGCCGUAGGGAAACCGAGUCUUAAUAGGGCGUAUAGUUGCUGGGUAUAGACCCGAAACCAGGCGAUCUAUCCAUGAGCAGGUUGAAGGUUGGGUAACACUAACUGGAGGACCGAACCCACUGUCGUUGAAAAGCCAGGGGAUGACUUGUGGAUAGGGGUGAAAGGCUAAUCAAGCCUGGUGAUAGCUGGUUCUCCCCGAAAGCUAUUUAGGUAGCGCCUCGGACGAAUACCAUAGGGGGUAGAGCACUGUUUCGGCUAGGGGGUCAUCCCGACUUACCAAACCGAUGCAAACUCCGAAUACCUAUGAGUACUAUCCGGGAGACAGACUGCGGGUGCUAACGUCCGUAGUCAAGAGGAAAACAAUCCAGACCGCCAGCUAAGGCCCCAAAAUCAUAGUUAAGUGGGAAACGAUGUGGGAAGGCAUAGACAGCUAGGAGGUUGGCUUAGAAGCAGCCACCCUUUAAAGAAAGCGUAAUAGCUCACUAGUCGAGUCGGCCUGCGCGGAAGAUGUAACGGGGCUAAAACUAUGUGCCGAAGCUGCGGAUGUAACUUUAAGUUACGUGGUAGGGGAGCGUUCUGUAAGCCGAUGAAGGUGGAUUGAGAAGUCUGCUGGAGGUAUCAGAAGUGCGAAUGCUGACGUGAGUAACGACAAAACGGGUGAAAAACCCGUUCGCCGAAAGACCAAGGGUUCCAGUCCAACGUUAAUCGGGGCUGGGUGAGUCGACCCCUAAGGCGAGGCCGAAAGGCGUAGUCGAUGGGAAAUUGGUUAAUAUUCCAAUACUUCUGUGUAAUGCGAUGAGAGGACGGAGAAGGUUAGGUCAGCCUGGCGUU
rnacentral:rRNA from 1 species